rnacentral:lncRNA from 1 species
CUUCGUGCAGCUUAUUGAUGCGAGACUUUCAACUCUCCCCCAAGCUCUUCAGUUAUCAAGUUCCUUAGAAUUGCUUUACGCAGGGGUAAGGACAAUGCGGAAUGUGAAUCUCUCAAUUACGUCCCCCCUCUCACCCUCUCCUGGACUGAAUCUUGACAAAUUUAUUUAUGUUUUUGCAGACUAUUGAUGACGGUGAUGAUGAAGAUGGUGCCAUACAGCCCAUCAUAUAUGAAGAUAACGAUGACAGUGACGAGGAGGGUUCUGAAGUUACUAUGGAAACAGAAAGCAUCCCAGAUAUUGAG